AAAGAGUUCAGAGUAAAAUAGCAUAUUAGUAAUUCAGUUUCCAUACUCAUUUACUGCAUCACAGCUGUCAGUGAAAGGCAAUCAAAAGUUCAUGCUAUAUGCUAUGUUUGUAAAUAGUGAUGCUAUCUCAUUAUUUUCUGGCCUGUCUGCAAUUAACCUCUUAUUUUGAAGGUGAUGAAAAUGUUCCAUAAGAGUAUACUAUAUUUCAAACAUAUUUCAAAGCACAUCUUUUUUCACUUCAGUCAUUCAUGAGGGAAAUAAAUGUUUCCGUACUGAUUUGUAUGCAAGCCUGUCAUAAGUAAUUUUUGUCUUUAACAUCAUGGAUUUGAAGAAAGGAAUGAACUUUGUUAAUGGAUUAGUUCUAUGUGAUCGUUGUCUGAAUUUUGAUAGUUUCUGAGUCCUGAAGGUAAGUAAUGCAAGCAGUAAACUGGUUGAGAGCUGUAAGGAGAUGGUCUUGCCCCCGGGGCUGCCUAUGAUGAAGACUGGCCAGAGGCUGAUUCUGAAAUGAAGUCUCUGCACUGUCACUCAGGCCCUUAGGGAAAUACGCAGUACUCCAAUUUAGUACCACUUUGACAUUGUUUACACAAGCAAUAUAAUGCAGAAUUGCUAUUCUUUAAUUUUCAUCCUCACAUACAGUUUGGUGACAUAACCGUUUCAAAACUGAUACCCCGAGCAGUCUGUGUGUUUAAAAGUUGGUCUUCCAGACCUAAACUAAGCAUUUCAUCUUCCCUCUGUAGACAAAUGCAAUGCUCCAGAGAGCAAUUCACCUCAUCCUCAGAUGAUGAUUAUGAGAGAUGAGGCAAACUGUACCUCUGAGUCACCUGCUCUCCCAGAAACAAAGCUGGGAGUGAUGAGCUGUGACUUGGACAAGGAUCCUUUAACCUCAGACAGCAGAAAGAGAUGAGACUCUCGAGGGGAUGAUUCAUCCUCUUCAAUGAUAAGUAUCUGACACAGCAAUGGAGUCCAUGACUCUCCUGUCACAAAUGAUGCCCAAACAAUGACCCUAUAUCAGGGUCAACCUCAGGAGAUAAUCAGCUAUCAAGCUGACCGGUGGCAAGGAAUUAGCGCUGCUGAAAGGAAGUUGGACCCAAAAGUACUCAGUACAUGAUGUGGAUGGACUUUUGGAGAGAAUCUGCACAACAAAAGGCACUGGAGUGGAAGCUAUUGGAGCUCAGCAACUUGGAGCAGAGCAUGCAGACCCUAAGCCUAUUGCUCAUUCACCACUGCAAGAGAAGAAGGAUCAAACCUCCAGGUUUGGUGACGGUCAGUGCGUGGGAGCUGGAGCUGCAGAAAGCUGCUGCUGAGACAUAUGCUGGUGUUUGGACUCUCACUCAUUCCAGCUGUUGGCAUUGUUGCAAUGUAUUUUUCUGAACCUUUUAGCUGUUGUAGCAGUUGUUCAGUGCUCCAGAAAAUUCUAAGAUAGGUCUAACAACAUUGAAAGUAUGUUUGAAUGUUGUGCUAUGUCUGCAUUCUAAAUUAGAAAACAGUAUUUGCUAUAAAAUGAUGUGCAUUCAUGUGCAGUAGAUUGGCAAUGUAGGAAGUUUUCCCAUAAUUGGUUGUAUAAUCCAACUUGACUGGCUGAAUAUCUUCUGGUAUUUAAGAAUGUAAUGUGUAUAUUUACAACUGUAUGUCUUACCUGCACCUGCCUGGCUUUCAUAAUUCUGGUUCUGAAUAUGUAAUUUCAGUGAUUUAAAUAUAUAUAUAUGUAGUUCCCUAUUAAAAACUAAAAAUAAAGGCGGCAUUUAUGACCCCUGAGGAAAGAAUAGCUAAAGCAUGCUAUGUUCUUAAUUUUUUAAAUUGUUGGACACAGAUAACGGGGGGG
ensembl:lncRNA